rnacentral:rRNA from 1 species
UGAGCUGGGGGUGGCCGCAGAGACCAGCGAGAAGCGACUGUUUACUAAAAACACAGGUCCGUGCGAAGCCGUAAGGCGAUGUAUACGGACUGACGCCUGCCCGGUGCUGGAACGUUAAGGGGACCGGUUAGUCACUCUUCGGGGUGGCGAAGCUGAGAACUUAAGCGCCAGUAAACGGCGGUGGUAACUAUAACCAUCCUAAGGUAGCGAAAUUCCUUGUCGGGUAAGUUCCGACCUGCACGAAUGGCGUAACGACUUCUCGACUGUCUCAACCAUAGGCCCGGUGAAAUUGCACUACGAGUAAAGAUGCUCGUUUCGCGCAGCAGGACGGAAAGACCCCGGGACCUUUACUACAGUUUGAUAUUGGUGUUCGGUUCGGCUUGUGUAGGAUAGGUGGGAGACUGUGAAGCGGGCACGCCAGUGUUCGUGGAGUCGUCGUUGAAAUACCACUCUGGUCGUGCUGGAUGUCUAACCUGGGUCCGUGAUCCGGAUCAGGGACAGUGUCUGAUGGGUAGUUUAACUGGGGCGGUUGCCUCCUAAAGAGUAACGGAGGCGCCCAAAGGUUCCCUCAGCCUGGUUGGCAAUCAGGUGUUGAGUGUAAGUGCACAAGGGAGCUUGACUGUGAGACCGACGGGUCGAGCAGGGACGAAAGUCGGGACUAGUGAUCCGGCGGUGGCUUGUGGAAGCGCCGUCGCUCAACGGAUAAAAGGUACCCCGGGGAUAACAGGCUGAUCUUCCCCAAGAGUCCAUAUCGACGGGAUGGUUUGGCACCUCGAUGUCGGCUCGUCGCAUCCUGGGGCUGGAGUCGGUCCCAAGGGUUGGGCUGUUCGCCCAUUAAAGCGGUACGCGAGCUGGGUUUAGAACGUCGUGAGACAGUUCGGUCCCUAUCCGCUGUGCGCGUAGGAGUCUUGAGAAGGGCUGUCCCUAGUACGAGAGGACCGGGACGGACGAACCUCUGGUGUGCCAGUUGUUCUGCCAAGGGCAUGGCUGGUUGGCUACGUUCGGGAGGGAUAACCGCUGAAAGCAUCUAAGCGGGAAGCCUGCUUCGAGAUGAGGACUCCCACCCACUUGAUGGGGUAAGGCUCCCAGUAGACGACUGGGUUGAUAGGCCGGAUCUGGAAGCACAGUAAUGUGUGGAGGUGACCGGUACUAAUAGGCCGAGGGCUUGUCCUC